CUUUCUGUUUGAUGAAGAUGGGGUGAGAGCAUGUUUUUACUAAAAUUUUAUAUACUAAGAAUUAAAUAUGGACGUGUGUCUGUUUACUCAUUGCUAGCUAAUUCUUGUGUUGGAUUGGGUGAAGCUGGGGCCAUUCUUCUGUUCUUGCUGAAGCAAAAUUAUAACAUAAGCAAUGCAAGUAGAAUUUGAAAUGUUUCCAAGAAAACUUCCAUAUUUAGGAUUGCACUUCAAGGCUUGGUCAGAUCCUGAUUAAAGUCAGCGUAGGAUAAUCUGUAACAAAUUAAUGUGAAAGGCAUCUCUUGCUCUCUGUCGGCG
rnacentral:misc_RNA from 1 species